GGAGUAACAGGAGCAGGGCGCCCUGCUGUCAGCAUUGCCGGGUGGCUGGCCUAGCUCACUGCUAAGGGCAAGGGAACACAUCCUGGGUCUGUGAGGCCCUUCCCCUCUGCUCCUGCAGAUUCUCCCUCUACUGUCACUGGAAGCACCUGGGACAGAUGCUGUCUGGGGUUCCCCUCACAGAAGCAGCUGUGAGCAGGACCCCAAGGCCACCUUGGAAAUAAUCAGUGUUUCCUUCAAAACAGUCCCCUGAGGAGCCUGCAGAGCUAUUUCAGCCACACCAGUGUCACCUGAAUGGAUUUCUGAAACUCUUCUCUGGCAACUUCCAGUAGUUUCCAAGCAACCCAGAAGAACAGGUCUCAUGACUUUAGAGGACUCAUCUUUUUUUUUUUUUUUUUUCCUGGAAAAGCAUAGUCCCUGAUUUGAUAUCCAGUCUCAUUCACAACCUUGCACUGUGUCCUUGGGCCAAAGCUUUGGGCCCACUGAGGAAAAUCAAAAGAAUGAGCUGCCACCAAUUCCCAAAGAUACAUCUCCAAGAGGAAGUGGGGCAGCAGCACCGCCACCGGAACAAGUGUGGGUCUCUCAAGGCUCCAUGAUCUCCAGGCACACGUUCACGAUGCACUGGAUCUCCAGC
rnacentral:lncRNA from 10 species